AUCCUGACCUUAGAAAAGGUAGAAAGUAUAUACAGUCAAAUGCUUCUUUUUAGCAGAAAUGAUUUAAGCCCUUAGAUGCAGUUGAUUGCGUCACAAUUGUCAACUAAAUAUUCAGUUCAAGUUAUCGUCUCUUGUCUUGGUUGAGAUGUGGAAAAUAAUCGUUUGUUUGAAAGGGAUUGCUGACUAGUAGUUAAUAAAAAAUGAGGAGAAACAGGAGUGCCAAAAACCCAGGCUUUGAUUUUUAAAACCUGCACUUGGUAAACAAAUUUACAAAAAAAAAAAAAAACAACUAAAACGCACAGCAGCCCCCCACCACCACCAUCACACCCACUUCAUUCAUUGUUCAUUGAUCAAAAUUGCCAAUCAAAGGCCUUCACGAUCUUCACCGCUCAUGCAGUGACGGGACUUUAGCAGACGCAGCACUGCAGCAUGCAGUACGUCCGGUGCCCAGCGGCACGCAAUCGCCGCUUCGCCGUUCGUUUAGUGCACUUUGUUGUUCGAAGAUCCUUGUCUGGGCUUUCAUAUUUGUGGCCGUGGUUUCAAAAGGGAACUAUUUGUUUGUUUGGCUGCCAAGAAAAAUAGUGGGAAUUAAAAGGAAUGAGAAAAUGAAAAUAUCGAUACUCAUAAAUAGAGCUUCGGUAUCAAGUUCAGCUUCAGUUAAAAUACCUCCAUUGUUUUUAAUCAUUCGUUU
rnacentral:lncRNA from 1 species